CCUACGGGAGGCAGCAGUAAGGAAUAUUGGGCAAUGGGCGAAAGCCUGACCCAGCAACGCCGCGUGAGGGACGAAGGCCUUCGGGUUGUAAACCUCUUUUCUGGGGGACGAGACCAGGACGGUACCUCAGGAAUAAGUCUCGGCUAACUACGUGCCAGCAGCCGCGGUAAGACGUAGGAGGCGAGCGUUAUCCGGAUUUACUGGGCGUAAAGCGCACGCAGGCGGCUUCGUUAGUCGGAUGUGAAAGCUCCUGGCUUAACUGGGAAAGGUCGUUCGAUACUGCUGAACUUGAGGUUGGGAGAGGGGUGUGAAAUUCCCGGUGUAGUGGUGGAAUGCGUAGAGAUCGGGAGGAACACCAGUGGCGAAGGCGGCCCCCGGGCCCACACCUGACGCUGAGGUGCGAAAGCGUGGGGAGCAAGCAGGAUUAGAUAGCCCUGUAGU
rnacentral:rRNA from 1 species